rnacentral:rRNA from 1 species
GAUGAACGCUGGCGGCGUGCCUAAUACAUGCAAGUCGAGCGAACAGACGAGGAGCUUGCUCCUCUGACGUUAGCGGCGGACGGGUGAGUAACACGUGGAUAACCUACCUAUAAGACUGGGAUAACUUUGGGAAACCGGAGCUAAUACCGGAUAAUAUAUUGAACCGCAUGGUGCAAUAGUGAAAGACGGUUUUGCUGUCACUUAUAGAUGGAUCCGCGCCGCAUUAGCUAGUUGGUAAGGUAACGGCUUACCAAGGCGACGAUGCGUAGCCGACCUGAGAGGGUGAUCGGCCACACUGGAACUGAGACACGGUCCAGACUCCUACGGGAGGCAGCAGUAGGGAAUCUUCCGCAAUGGGCGAAAGCCUGACGGAGCAACGCCGCGUGAGUGAUGAAGGUCUUCGGAUCGUAAAACUCUGUUAUUAGGGAAGAACAAAUGUGUAAGUAACUAUGCACGUCUUGACGGUACCUAAUCAGAAAGCCACGGCUAACUACGUG